GUGUUCUAGUCUCUUGUGAGUCCUGAAAGAUAGCAGGAACAUUUCACACUGAUAAUUUGUUAAAGCAGAAUUUCCUGCAUGUUUUAUGGUGCUGUGCUAAAAUAUUCUGUCUCUAAAACUGUGUUAAUUCUUGGGAAAUAAGUUUUUCAAGCUUUUAAUUGUGGAGGAUUUUUCCCACUAGGUGGUAAUGGGCGAUGGAUCAAACUCCUUUUCUAAACAGUUGAAUUUUCAGUGUAAAAGUCUGUGGAAACACCCCUCCCUCUCCUCUGUGUCCAUCUCCUCAGAAGUUCUGUCUGUCUGCAUCUGUUUCAGCACAUACUUUGGACUCCUUUACAGACGACCAUUCCUCCUUCCUCAAUAGGUGUCUUCAGUGUUCUCUAAAUACUUAAAACUGAUUUUGACAAGUAGCUAAAACUUACUUAGCCUAAGACUUGUAUUUAAUAUAGUUAAUUAUAAAAAUAGCAACUAUUUUAAAAAUUGUUCUGUGUUCUGCUCUUAAGACCACACUUGUAUGCCAGGAGGCAGCAGCCACACCACUGGCAACCAGCGAACAGAUUACAGUGGAGGAAGUUGUCACAUGGUAUAUAAUAUUGCCCAGCCUAGGCUGGGCUGUGGGGAACACUCCCCUCCAGGUGAUUCAAGUUUCCACAGUCCAGCCUAGGCCCAGCCUGACCGGGAAGCAUUUAGCCCAUUUCUUGCCUCAGUGCCACCUUUUUCUGGGCAAGUAGUUAACUGAUUUUAUAAGCAAUGAAUACUUCAGAUAAAUCCACAACUGUAGUUGCUGCAGAGUAGAGAAGGUUGACCAUCACUAGUUUAAUUCUCCAAUGUAAAAGCUGUCUAGAGUAAUGUGUGCACAUGCCCACACAUGCCUGUGCUCUGAGGGGCUCUUGCACUGAUGGAUGCACAGAUGUCUGGGUUGCACUUUGAACAACACACUUGUGGCUUUAUUGGGUUUGCUGUUGUUUGUUGUUUUUUAAUCGUUGUUUGUUUCUUUUCAUUAAAGAAAGGUCUAAUCAGCUAGAUCAGACAGCAUCAUUUUUGUAUUUAAUGACAAUGACUUUGAGAAAUUACCUUAUUGAAUAAGCUUGUGUUGUGAAGCAAGAGCCUGCAAAACACACCUGUUGUAAAUGAACGUUCUGGCUCUGGAGGCCAGCAGCACUCUGUGGAGUUUCAGAGCAGUCUGUAGUUGCUCCAGUCAGUGAUGCCUAGUUGUGUAGAGGAGAGGUACGCUGUGCACUCUUCUAAGUGUGAGGGUAUGCAACUUUGGAUUUUAAAAUUAUAUACACAUACACACUUUAUAUAUAUGUAUGUAUGUAUGAAAACAUGAAAUUAGUUUGUCAGAAAUGUGUGUGUUUAGUAUUUUAGCUUAGUGCAACUAUUUCCACAUUAUUUAUUGAUCUAAGACACUUUCUUGUUGACACCUUGAAUAUUAAUGUUCAAGGGUGCAAUGUGUAUUCCUUUUAGAUUGUUAAAGCUUAAUUACUAUGAUUUGUAGUAAAUUAACUUUUAAAAUAUAUUUGAGCCCUUCCGUAGUAUUAUAGGGCUCAUACAGGGUGGGAAGGAUUUUAAUUUUCCAGUUGCUAAUUGAACAAAAGGGCCUCAUUAUGUAUUUUGAAUUAUAGAAGUUUGCCUCUGGAUCCCAGGAACAUCUACUGGGAAGGAUGUUUUAGGCAGAUUGUGAAGAUUGUUUUUUAAUCCUAAGUAGAUUGCAAAGCAAAACAUUUCAAAUCCAUCUAGAUUCCUAUAACUCAUUCCCUAAUUAUGUGGAACACAGAUUUCAUUUCAAUUUCAUGUAUCUAUGUGUUGGAGAGGCAGAAUUUUUUCCAAUAAUAAUAUUGCACAUCUAAGGUUGCUAUUCAGUAAUAUAAAUAGAAGAGAUAAGUAUUGAAUGACUUAGAAUAUAUAGUGACAAGAGGCCAAAUUGUUCAUGUUUGUGAGCAUUUCUUUCACAUAUUCACUAAUAGAGAAAUUCAUUUUAGACCCCUAGACCCUAUAACUAAGCCAACAAGUGAUAGGAAGUAAGUUAUUAAUAGUUGGUAAAGCAAAUGCAGAUUCUGUUCACUCAAACCAUAUGGUUAAUUAAAAAGAACUUACAGUCUCCCAAAAAGCGAAUGGAAAGAAUAUCUUCUUUUUUUCUUUUUGAUGGCAUUUGGUCACAGAAUAAGGCAUUAGAGUUAAGUCUAAACCAAUCUUUAAGCAACGGAAAAUAGCAACCCAAGUAAUCGUCAUAUAAUGAAGUUGACUUUGGGGAAUGUCAGCCUUUGACCUCUCCUUGCCCACCAUUCCUCAGCUAAGCAUAAAUUCCCAUUCUUAAAAAGAAACAGCCAAAAGGUGCUCUAAUUUAGAGCAUGGGGGAAAAGCUCCCACCCAGAAAUUCUAGAAAUACUCUGUUUUGACCUCUUACAUGGGGUUUCUUUACAGCUUUUUACCACUGGAAUUUUCUACCUGCUAUGUUCCUGUCUGGAAAAAAUCUAUUUGGAAAUGCUGGCUUUCAGAUCAAUGCCAUAAUUAUCCAUACUGUUGAGUUUAUUGUUGCUGUUCAAGAAGUGUCCCCAUUUUACAACUUCAUGCACACACCUGGCAGAUCAUUGACAUGAGCAUUCAACAGUACUGGGGUCGAGGUGGGGUGGGAAUGGGCAGGGCUCAGCAACAGAGCUGGCGCAGGUGGCAGUGUCUAAAAAGGCAUCACCUUUGAGGACCAGAUGUGGGGUUGGUAAGCACAGUUAUGAAAAUUUCUAUCCAGCCUCCGUUUUGAAUGGUUUUAAGAAAUUUUGUAUAUGGAGGACAUAAAUACUUUAUUUGUUGCAAUACAUUAAAAUUUCAGAGGUACUUUGGGGCUCAAAAGCUAGGAUUUCUAAGUCAGUAUGUGCAUUUCACGUAAUAAAGCUG
rnacentral:lncRNA from 1 species